rnacentral:pre_miRNA from 1 species
GUCUCUAGUUGUCUAGCUCAAUGUCUCUAGUUGUCUACUAGAGACAUAGAGCUAGACUACUAGAGAC